rnacentral:rRNA from 1 species
CCUACGGGUGGCAGUAGUGGGGAAUAUUGGGCAAUGGAGGCAACUCUGACCCAGCAACGCCGCGUGAAUGAUGAAGGUCUUCUGAUUGUAAAGUUCUGUGAUGGGGGAUGAACACCAUGACGGUACCCCACUAGCAAGCCACGGCUAACUACGUGCCAGCAGCCGCGGUAAUACGUAGGUGGCAAGCGUUAUCCGGAAUGACUGGGCGUAAAGGGUGCGUAGGUGGUUUAGUAAGUUGGCGGUGUAAUUCCGGGGCGCAACCAUUCAGACUAUUAGCUAAACUGUUAAGCUCGAGACCGUUAGGGGUAACUGGAAUUUCUAGUGUAGGAGUGAAAUCCGUAGAUAUUAGAAGGAACACCAAUAGCGUAGGCAGGUUACUGGGACGGUUCUGACACUAAGGCACGAAAGCGUAGGGAGCAAACGGGAUUAGAUACCCCAGUAGUC